AGCGGAACAGUUCCAUGUUUCAAUUUUUUUUUUGCAAGUACAAGAAAGAUGAACAAACAGUGUCUGCAAUUUGUAUGUAAGAUUCUUCCAACGGAAGGAGAGCCACUCUGAGACACUUUCCCUUUCACCAAACACAAAAAACAACUACAAAGUUAGUUAAAGUUCCAAUUUUUAUUUUAUCUUUUCAAUUAUGAUUCGCUAUUCCCUCUCACUUUCAUCUCUAAUAUAUGCUCUGAAACAAACAAUCACCCUUUGAUACAUAGCUUGAUUUCCUUCCCUCUGCAGAUUCAGCACUUGUUCGGUGAGUUACAUCUUUUUCUGCUGUAGAUCUUUCUCACCCUAUUUCUGGGUACUCAUUAUUUUCAGCUCAAACUGAAUGCAUAAGCUUAAGCAGAGAACAAUUAUCCAAUGGAUUCUCUAGAUUGGAUCAAUAGCCCAUUAUUCUUCCUUUAUUGGUUUUAUUUGCAUCUUGCUCAUCAAAGUAAAGGCCUUUUGUUUUGAGAUUUAUUGUUCUUUCUGUCUAUUAAAAACAAGUGUUGCUGCAAUUUUUGGGGUUUGGAAAUUCAUGAGCUUGGGGUAGUGGGAAUGUGCCCACUAUUUGUAAAGUUUUGAUUUUUGUGAAGAAGAAAAUUCAUUGCGGAGAUCUGGGACUUGGUUCAUGUUUUAUGCCCCAUGAGGACUUUCUUCACUGCUGAUUCAUGUAAAGAAGCACACCCAAAUGCCUUAAAUCCACAGUCUUGGCUUCAUAUUGAAAGAGGGAAACUUCCCAAGCUGUCAUCACAUUCCUCUUCUGCCUCAAUAGAAUCCCUAAUCAAGGUUCCACAGCCACCUAUACUGCCAUUCUAUAAACCCAUUGAUUAUGUGGAGGUCUUAGCUCAAAUCCAUGAAGAACUUGAGUCAUGUCCUCCUCAGGAGAGGUCAAAUCUAUUUCUGUUACAAUACCAGGUCUUCAGGGGCCUUGGGGAAGUUAAGUUGAUGCGAAGAAGUCUCCGGGGAGCUUGGCAGAGAGCCAACACUGUUCAUGAGAAGAUUAUCUUUGGGGCGUGGUUGAAGUAUGAAAAGCAAGGGGAAGAACUAAUAGCUGACUUGCUAAGCACUUGUGGUAAAUGUGCAAAGGAGUUUGGGCCUGUAGAUGUUGCAUCUCAUCUUCAGUUUGAUAGAAACGUAAGUUCCCAGGAGGGAAUUUUGACCAACAAGAGUGAUGUAUCGCAAUAUGUAAUAUUCACAAUCGAAAAUGAGAAGAUAGUAUGUGAUAGACAAAAGAUUUCUGAACUUUCAGUACCAUUCCAUGCAAUGCUAAAAGGGUAUUUCAGUGAAUCACUGUCAGAUACUAUAGAUUUGUCCGAAAACAAUAUAUCUAUUUCAGGUAUGAGGGCAAUAAGUUAUUUUAGUUUGGCUGGAAGUUUACCUGAGCUUCCUCCAAAUCUUUUGUUGGAGAUAUUAGUUUUUGCAAAUAAGUAUUGUUGUGAAAGACUCAAAGAUGCUUGUGAUAGAAGACUUGCAUCUUUAGUUUCCUCCAAAGAAGAUGCUGUGGAGCUCAUGGAAUAUGCUCUUGAUGAAAACUCUGUCAUCCUUGCUGCUUCUUGUCUACAAGUCCUCUUACGUGAUCUUCCAAACUGUUUGAAUGACAAUCGUGUGGUGGAUAUAUUUAUUCAUGCUAAUAGGCAGCAGCUCGAAGUCAUGGUUGGGCCAGGAUUGUUUGCACUAUUCUGCUUCUUAAGUGAAGUUUCUAUGAACCUUAAUUCUAGUUCAGACACAACAGCUCAUCUCCUUGAAAGGUUAGUUGAUUUCUCUGAAAAUGACAAGCAGAGAUUGCUCGCUUUUCAUCAGUUAGGAUGUGUAAGAUUCUUGAGGAAAGAAUAUGAUGAAGCGCGUGGUUUGUUUGAGGGGGCUGUAAAAGUAGGCCAUAUGUAUUCCAUUGCAGGUUUAGCUAGACUGGACUAUUUAAAGGGCGAGAAGCUUUUAUCUUAUGAGAAGCUCAGCUCAGUGAUUGCCUCGGUUACUCCACUCGGAUGGAUGUACCAGGAGAGAUCACUAUAUUGUGAUGGUGAUAUAAGGUGGGAGGACCUUGAGAAAGCAACUGAUCUAGACCCUACUCUUAUAUAUCCUUAUAUGUAUAGGGCUUCCAGUUUAAUGAGGACACAGAAUGCUCAAGCCGCACUAGAAGAAAUCAAUCGGAUUCUUGGGUUCAAACUUUCAUUAGAAUGCCUGGAACUUCGUUUCUUUAUUUAUCUGACUCGUGAGGACUACAAAGCAGCUCUUUGUGAUAUCCAAGCUAUUCUUACUCUGCGUCCGGACUAUAGAAUGUUCGAGGGACGUGUUGCUGCAUCCCAACUCUGUACUCUAGUGCGUGAGCAUGUGGAACCUUGGACAACAGCAGACUGUUGGGCACGGUUAUACGAUUGUUGGUCUGCAGUUGAUGAUAUUGGAUCUCUAUCUGUUAUCUACCAGAUGCUCGAAUCUGAUGCAGCGAAAGGUGUUUUAUACUUCAGACAGUCAUUGCUUCUCUUGAGGCUGAACUGUCCUGAAGCAGCCAUGCGGAGUUUACAAUUAGCCCGGCAACACGCAUCAAGUGAGCACGAACGGCUCGUAUAUGAGGGGUGGAUCUUGUAUGACACAGGCCAUUAUGAGGAAGGGCUCCAUAAAGCCGAAGAGUCUAUUAGUAUUAAAAGGUCUUUUGAGGCCUUCUUCUUGAAGGCUUAUGCACUGGCCGACUCUAGUCUAGAUUCAUCCUGUUCUGCAACUGUUAUCUCGCUUUUGGAGGAUGCCUUGAAGUGUCCUUCAGAUAACUUGCGCAAAGGCACUGAACAAUCUUGGAAGUGUUUUUGUUGACUGUCAGAAGUAUGACUCAGCAGCUGAUUGCUAUAUCAAUGCCCUUAAAAUCCGGCAUACCCGAGCCCAUCAGGGUCUUGCUCGUGUUCAUUAUCUCAAACAAGAUAAGGCUGCUGCCUAUAAAGAGAUGACUGAACUGAUUCAGAAGGCAAAAAACAAUGCAUCUGCCUUCGAGAAGAGGUCGGAAUACUGCGACCGGGAACUUGCACAGGCAGACCUGGAGAUGGUGACUAGAUUAGAUCCACUUCGGGUGUAUCCUUACAGAUACCGUGCUGCUGUGUUGAUGGACAACCGAAAGGAAGACGAGGCGAUCGCUGAACUUUCCAGAGCCAUUGCAUUUAAAGCUGAUUUACACCUCUUGCAUCUAAGGGCAGCAUUCCAUGAACACAAAGGAGAUGUGUUGGGUGCACUCAGAGAUUGUCGUGCCGCACUCUCUGUGGACCCUAACCACCAAGAAAUGUUGGAACUGCACAGCAGAGUUAAUAGUCAUGAGCCAUGAUGACACACUUAAAAGAGUGUCAACAACACCCUUUUUUGUAUGUGUGUGUGUGUCUUUUGGGAAAUGGAACCUGUAAUGUAACAUUGGCUUGCAAUGAAUAGUGAUUGGUUUACACACCACGAAGAAAAAGAGAAGAAAAAAAAAAAAUAAAUGUGUAAAAUUGAAAGUAUAGUUAAAUUAUGUUCCUGUCUAUAGCAAUGAGCAUGUGAAUUCUUACCCAUUUUCUCCUCCAAUUUUGUAAUUGUUGACCUUCAAUUUCAGGAUAUGUGUGAGUGUGAAGAUGUGUUCUUUAUUUGGAUAUAAUGGGGAGAGAAUUUUUUAAAAUUU